rnacentral:rRNA from 1 species
AGGCGACCUGCACAGGUGCUGCAUGGCUGUCGUCAGCUCGUGCCGUGAGGUGUUAGGUUAAGUCCUGCAACGAGCGCAACCCCUGUUUCCAGUUGCCAUCAAGUAAAGUUGGGGACUCUGGAGAGACUGCCUGCGCAAGCAGAGAGGAAGGUGGGGAUGACGUCAAGUCAGCACGGCCCUUACGUCCAGGGCUACACACGUGCUACAAUGGCCGGUACAGAGGGCAGCGACCUGGUGACAGGUAGCGAAUCUCCAAAGCCGGUCUCAGUUCGGAUCGGAGUCUGCAACUCGACUCCGUGAAGCUGGAUUCGCUAGUAAUCGGAUAUCAGCAAUGAUCCGGUGAAUACGUUCCCGGGCCUU